UACGAAGGGGGCUAGCGUUGUUCGGAAUCACUGGGCGUAAAGCGCACGUAGGCGGAUUGUUAAGUCGGGGGUGAAAUCCUGAGGCUCAACCUCAGAACUGCCUUUGAUACUGAGGAUCUUGAGUUCGGGAGAGGUGAGUGGAACUGCGAGUGUAGAGGUGAAAUUCGUAGAUAUUCGCAAGAACACCAGUGGCGAAGGCGGCUCACUGGCCCGAUACUGACGCUGAGGCACGAAAGCGUGGGGAGCAAACAGG
rnacentral:rRNA from 1 species